rnacentral:rRNA from 1 species
AUGAUGACAGGUUUCAAGGAAGUCGCGGCUUCACAUCAUCAUCAUGAAACUAACGGGAAAACGUUGUUACAAUGGUUUACUCUGGUACAUGGGUGCAGCUACAUCACCGAGUUUCUGAGUCUGACUGGGGUACAUGACUGGAUCAAUCUGAACGAAGCUAGCCCAAGCAGGUCCAUGUACAGGAUUCUACGGCAAGCUAGACCUACAAAUUCGAUUAGGCUAAAUCAGUCUAAUCCUUGCCGGCAACCAACAGUUUGCUCUCGCCUGUGUGCCGUCUGGCAGGAGCUGGGGCUGGAGCUGCACCAGUCUCCUCGCCUUGGACGGCCCCUGAUGCCGUGCUCCUGCAGUGUGCCCACCGUGAGCAUCCAACGGCGCCGUGUCCAACUUUCUCCGGCUGCCGUCCGGGGAGCCUGCAGCUGGAGCGCGCGGAUAUCGGCCGGGGGUCGACUGCGUGGGACGGCACACGCUAGAGGGUGCUUGCACGACCGUGGCCGCCAUUUUUUCUGUUUCAACUAA